UACGGAGGGUGCAAGCGUUAAUCGGAAUUACUGGGCGUAAAGCGCACGCAGGCGGUCAAUUAAGUCAGAUGUGAAAGCCCCGAGCUUAACUUGGGAAUUGCAUUCGAUACUGGUUGACUAGAGUAUGAGAGAGGAAGGUAGAAUUCCAGGUGUAGCGGUGAAAUGCGUAGAGAUCUGGAGGAAUACCGAUGGCGAAGGCAGCCUUCUGGCUUAAUACUGACACUGAGGUGCGAAAGCAUGGGGAGCAAACAGG
rnacentral:rRNA from 1 species